rnacentral:rRNA from 1 species
UACAGAGGUCUCAAGCGUUGUUCGGAUUCAUUGGGCGUAAAGGGCGCGUAGGCGGCCAUGCGUGUCUUCCGUGAAAUCCCUCGGCUUAACUGAGGACGUGCGGAAGAAACUGCAAGGCUCGAGUCCGGGAGAGGGGGGUGGAAUUCCCAGUGUAGCGGUGAAAUUCGUAGAUAUUAGGAAGAACACCAGUGGCGAAGGCGGCUCACUGGCCCGGUACUGACGCUGAGGCGCGAAAGCGUGGGGAGCAAACAGG